rnacentral:rRNA from 1 species
CCUACGGGCGGCAGCAGUGAGGAAUAUUGGUCAAUGGACGAGAGUCUGAACCAGCCAAGUAGCGUGAAGGAUGACUGCCCUAUGGGUUGUAAACUUCUUUUAUAUGGGAAUAAAAUGUUCCACGUGUGGGAUUUUGUAUGUACCAUAUGAAUAAGGAUCGGCUAACUCCGUGCCAGCAGCCGCGGUAAUACGGAGGAUCCGAGCGUUAUCCGGAUUUAUUGGGUCUAAAGGGAGCGUAGGUGGAUUGUUAAGUCAGUUGUGAAAGUUUGCGGCUCAACCGUAAAAUUGCAGUUGAAACUGGCAGUCUUGAGUACAGUAGAGGUGGGCGGAAUUCGUGGUGUAGCGGUGAAAUGCUUAGAUAUCACGAAGAACUCCGAUUGCGAAGGCAGUUCACUGGACUGCAACUGACACUGAGGCUCGAAAGUGUGGGUAUCAAACAGGAUUAGAUACCCGAGUAGUC